GAUGAACGCUGGCGGCGUGCCUAAUACAUGCAAGUCGAGCGAACGGACGAGAAGCUUGCUUCUCUGAUGUUAGCGACGGACGGGUGAGUAACACGUGGAUAACCUACCUAUAAGACUGGGAUAACUUCGGGAAACCGGAGCUAAUACCGGAUGAUAUUUUGAACCGCAUGGUUCAAAAGUGAAAGACGGUCUUGCUGUCACUUAUAGAUGGAUCCGCGCUGCAUUAGCUAGUUGGUAAGGUAACGGCUUACCAAGGCAACGAUGCAUAGCCGACCUGAGAGGGUGAUCGGCCACACUAGAAAUGAGACACGGUCCAGACUCCUACGGGAGGCAGCAGUAGGGAAUCUUCCGCAAUGGGCGAAAGCCUGACGGAGCAACGCCGCGUGAGUGAUGAAGGUCUUCGGAUCGUAAAACUCUGUUAUUAGGGAAGAACAUAUGUGUAAGUAACUGUGCACAUCUUGACGGUACCUAAUCAGAAAGCCACGGCUAACUACGUG
rnacentral:rRNA from 1 species